rnacentral:misc_RNA from 1 species
UGGGGAAAUGCGCAGAAACUUUCUCCAUGAACCGAGCGCGUCCACUAUAGUCCAUUUGUCUUAACUCUUCCGCCACCAUCCAUUUUAUAUCGACCAUUGUAUUUAUUGGUUAUCAAAAUAAUUUCGUAAAAAUCGAUUAAAUCGAAUUAACGAAAUAUCGUCAAAUAAAUCCGAAUAAUUGAAAGAAAAUUAUAACUUAGUAAGAUCUUGAAUAUAAAAUAGUAUAGAAUAAAAUGAAAAAAAAAGAUAUGAUGAUUUUCGUUGCAUUCUCGUCGAGUUGGUUAGUGUACGAUUGUUAGCAUAAAUAAAGUGUAAGCGUCAAAGGGCGCUGCCGCAAUCAUCAUCCACAAACGUUGGACUAUACUGGUCAGUGAAGUUGUACGUCUAUCGUGACUAUAGUGGGCGAGGUUUUUUUUUUCCCACACUACCAAAUUCACAUCGUGAUAUCAUAGCGGAAAAUACCAAUUAGUAUUCGGCCACGGAUCGUAAGAAAUCCAAACGAUCACUUCUGCGUCAACCAAAACAACCACCAUGACAACAGCCGCUAAGCUAUAUGGCAAGGAUUUAAGCGAAUACGAAGAUGUCGAUGUUGACGAAUUGCUGGCGCAGCUAACACCCGAAGAAAUCAAUAUACUUGCCAAGGAAGUCGAUCCAGAUGACAGUUUUAUGCCUCCAUCACAGCGUUGCAGCUAUGAGUGCGACAAGAGCCCGACGGGUCCUCUUAACCGAAAGAAACUCAUCGAACACAUUAACAAACAGGCUUUGGAAACACCGGAUAGACCAGAAUUAAAACCCUAUGUACCUGGAGUUAUUAGAGGAAAAAAAUGGAUCCCACCUGCUCAGGAUAGCGCGAAAGAAAAAGAAGUGGAUGAGCAAAUUGCGAUAGAUCUUGGAGAAGAAUACGAACAAGCAUUGUCGAACGCGUCUCAAGAAGAAAUUAUUGAUCUUGCAGCCAUUCUUGGGUUCCACUCUAUGAUGAACCAGGAUCAAUAUCACGCAUCUUUAUUAAAUUCUGGACAGCCCGUGGGAUUGGGCUGGGAUGGAGUGACGAAAGCUAGUCAACCAAAACCUUAUCCAAUGGAACCGCCUAAUGACACGGACGUUGAUGCAACUAUCAAACAAGUUAGAGAUGACGAUUCUAAGCUAACCGAAUUAAACUGGAAUAAUAUUAAAAAUAUCUCGGACGAGAAAUUUAUCCAGUUGUUCGAAGGAUUAGAAGGAAAUACGCAUCUCGAGUCUUUGAGUUUAACAAAUGUUGGACUUAACGACAAAACUGCCCAAAGGUUGGCAGAUGCCAUGGAGAAAAACUCUACGCUUAGAGUAUUAAACGUGGAAACAAAUUUCAUAAGCCCACCUGUGAUAGUCAGGCUCAUUAGAGCCCUUCUAAAAACCAAAUCGAUCGAAGAAUUCCGAUGUUCUAAUCAGAGAUCACAAGUUUUGGGUAACAAAAUUGAAAUGGAAAUCACACAAUUGGUCGAACAAAAUCCAUCGUUAUUACGACUCGGACUUCAUUUCGAGUUCAACGACGCCAGACAUCGCGUGGCUGCACAUUUACAACGUAACAUCGAUAGGAUCUGUCGUGUGGAACCUAUGGAACGCGCAAAGGUCGUAGCAAUCGGUGUGGGUCGUGACACGUUCACCGUUCUUCAGUUAGAUGAUCGAAAAAAUCGAGCCUAGCGCUGAACACGGCGCAUACGGCAGUCCCGGCUCGGGGUGACGACAUCUUAACGCGAGUGGCGUUCGCCUAGAUCGCCUACGCCGUACGGGAAGGGCUUCCCGCAACUA